GAUGAAGAACGUAGCGAAAUGCGAUAAGUAAUGCGAAUUGCAGAAUUCAGUGAAUCAUCGAAUCUUUGAACGCACAUUGCGCCCUUUGGUAUUCCGAAGGGCAUGCCUGUUCGAGCGUCAUUUCACCACUCAAGCCUGGCUUGGUAUUGGGCGCCGCGGUCGAUCCGCGCGCCUCAAAGUCUCCGGCUGAGCUGUCCGUCUCUAAGCGUUGUGAUUUCAUUAAUCGCUUCGGAGUGCGGGCGGCCGCGGCCGUUAAAUCUUUCACAAGGUUGACCUCGGAUCAGGUAGGGAUACCCGCUGAACUUAAGCAUAUCAAUAAGCGGAGGA
rnacentral:misc_RNA from 1 species